GGACGAUUAGUGUAGUGGUUAUCACGUUUCCUUUACAAAGUCAUCAGACGCGGAAAAGGUCGCAGGUUCGAUCCCUGCAUCGUUCA
rfam:Pseudogymnoascus pannorum VKM F-103 contig_1043, whole genome shotgun sequence.